CCCAAACAAGAAAAAGCCAAGAUAAAAGCAGGAAAAUCAAGUCCUGCAGCUGAUGCAGCAGUUUAUUCUGAAAUCACAUUAGGAAGCUUUCCUGGUCAGUGAAGAGAGCUGCAGCAGCAAAGCUAUGGGCUCAAAAUGUGGUCAUAAAUAUUUUGUACUUGUAAAUCAGUUUUAAGAUAAGAUAAGAUAAGAUAAACCUUUAUUAGUCCCACACGUGGGAAAUUUGUUUUGUCACAGCAGGAAGUGGACAGUGCAAAAGUUAUGAAGCAAAAAUUAGAAUAAAAUAAAAUAAGAAUAAAUACCGUACACAACUGUACAGAAUAGAAUAAAAUAAAAUACUAUAUACAGUAGAAUAAAAUAGGAUAAAAUAUACAAUAAGAUAAAAAUAGAAUACAAAUGCUAUAUACAACUGAGUAAAAAUACAACGAUGCCAGAAAAGAUUAUUGCACAUUUGUGGAUGUGUGUGUUUGAUCAGUUGAAGUUUUUAUUGUGGAGUCUGACAGCAGUGGGGAGGAAAGACCUGCGAAAUCUCUCCGUCCCACACUGUGGGUGCCGCAGUCUCCCACUGAAGGAGCUGCUCAGUGCUGUCAGAGUCUCCUGCAUGGGGUGGGAGAUGUUGUCCAACAGGGAUGACAGCUUAGCCACCAUUCUCCUGUCACUCACCACCUCCACUGGGUCCAGAGGGCAUCCUAGAACAGAGCUGGCCCUGCGGAUCAGCCUGUUCAGUCUCUUCCUGUCCCCGGCAGAGAUGCUGCCGCCCCAGCAGACCACACCGUAAAAGAUGGCUGAGGCCACCACAGAGUCAUAGAAGGUCUUCAGGAGUGGGCCCUCCACUCCAAACGACCUGAGUCUCCGCAGAGGGCGGAGAGGGCGUCUGAAUUAUGAGUCCAGUCCAGUUUGCUGUUCAGAUGAACACCAAGGUACCUGUAGCUGUCCACAGCCUCAAUGUCCAUACCUUGGAUGUUCAGUGGUUGCAGUGGAGGAUGUUUGUGCCUGCGGAAGUCUACCACCAGCUCCUUGGUUUUACUGGCAUUGAUCUGGAGGUAGUUCAGCUGGCACCAGUCCACAAAGUCUUGAGUCAGUCCUCUGUACUCCUUGUCGUCCCCAUCAGUGAUGAGGCCGACUAUAGCAGAGUCAUCAGAGAACUUCUGCAGGAAGCACUGGGUUGAGUUGUGGGAGAAGUCUGCAGUGUAGAUGGUGAAGAGGAACGGAGCCAGAACCGUUCCCUGUGGGGCCCCCGUACAACCCUGUCCGACACACAGCCCUGAGUCCUCACAUACUGUGGUCGGUUGGUGAGGUAGUCCAGAAUCCAGGUAGUGAGGUGAUGGUCCACUCCAGAGUUCUCCAGCUUGUCCUUCAGAACCGAGGGAAGAAUGGUGUUGAAGGCACUGGAGAAAUCAAAGAACAUGAUUCUCACAGUGCUCCCAGCGGUCUCCAGGUGAGCGAGGGAACGAUGUAGGAGGUGAAUGAUGGCAUCAUCCGCUCCAAUGCCAGGUUGGUAGGCAAACUGAAGUGGGUACAGUUUGUACAUGUAAAUCAGGAUUUGUAUGUGUAAAAAUAAUUUGUGUGUGCGUAAAAAAGAUUUGUAUGUGUAAAAAGAAUUUGUGUGUGCG
ensembl:lncRNA